GGGGAGACCUUCACCCCUGGCCUCCCUCCGGGUUGUCAGGGAGUGAACAGAGACCUGUCUUCCUGCACUGGCUUCUCCCUUCUUUGGGGAUGCAUUAGUGACCCAGGCCUGCAGGCUGAGUCCCAGAAGGAAGCCACAAAGACAUUGUAGGGGUGCCAUUGGGCACUGGUGGGAUUCAGGGAUUCAGCUGCAGAGCGUGGGCAAAGUUUGGCAUCUUUGACCGAUCAUUGCCUGGGCAAACCAAGCAGACGCCCAAGUCCGUCCAUCACAGGCUUUUUGUUUGGGGGCGUGGUGACCAGCCUCUGAGAGAAGUUCCCAGUGAUGGGAGGACGCCUGCCCAGCCCUGUGGCCCAGCCCUGGACAGCAGGGCUGGCUUUCUGGCAAGGCCCUGCCUGCCACAAGAGUCAGUCUGGGAUCUUAGAAUUGUGGCUUAAAAGUUGGGCAGGACCUGGAGACUCUGGAGUCCAGUCCCAAUGUGACAGGAUUAGAACCCGCUUCCUCUGUGCUCUCGCUAGGCAAUAUGUGACCUUGGGCUUUUGGAAUCUCCUCCCCUUGAUCAAGACCACAAAAGAUGAUCUCUGAGAUGCCUACUUAAUGCACAUCCAAGCCACUUGGGGGAGCAGAUGCCUCAAAGAACUCAUGGCAACAUGCAAUACUGUGAAGAACACUGGUUCUGGGGUCAGAGGUCCUGGUUUCAAAUCCUACCAUGAACACUAUCUGUGUGACCUUGGGCAAAUACUUCAUUUUACCUUUCUAAACCUCAGUUUCCUCAUCUGUAAAAUGAGGGGGUUGGAGUAGAUGACUUCUGAGGUGCCUCCAAGACACAUGGUCCUAUGAUACUGGGAGACAAAAUGAUGAGUUAGCAGCAGGUGUCCCAAAUCUACUCUGUAUCUCAUGAGGCUGAGACAGGCCUGCUGUGCAGAUCACAUUGUUCUCUGAAAGCCAGCUGACCAGUCAGGAUGCUCUGGGAAUGAGCGUGCCCUUAGUGUUCCAGGACUGAGCAGAUGGGGAAUGGGCCACCUUGGCACCACCGUUAGAACAGAUCUGUAGAUGCAGACUAACGCUGAGCUCAACAAAUGUUAAGUGCCCCUCACUUAGCCAGGUACCGUGUCUGGCGCUGAGAGAGACACAAUACAGAUUCCCUGCCCUCAAGGAGCUCACAAUCCAGACAUGAUAACUUUGCUCAGACGCUCCCCAUCUCGGCAACGCGCUCCUUCCCCCUCUUUUCCCGUUGAAUCCCUACCCAUCCUUCAAAAGCUCACCCACAUGACACCCUUCACCAAACCUUCCCUGAUUCCCUCCCCUUCUUAGAUCACAAGGUCAUGGGGUCACUGAUCUGGAUCUAGUCCAAUCUGCCCAUUUGAUAGAUGAGGAAACUGAGGCUAAGAGAGAUGACUCGCCCAA
rnacentral:lncRNA from 1 species